CGAACGCUGGCGGCGUGCUUAACACAUGCAAGUCGAACGGAAAGGCCCUGCUUUUGUGGGGUGCUCGAGUGGCGAACGGGUGAGUAACACGUGAGUAACCUGCCCUUGACUUUGGGAUAACUUCAGGAAACUGGGGCUAAUACCGGAUAGGAGCUCCUGCUGCAUGGUGGGGGUUGGAAAGUUUCGGCGGUUGGGGAUGGACUCGCGGCUUAUCAGCUUGUUGGUGGGGUAGUGGCUUACCAAGGCUUUGACGGGUAGCCGGCCUGAGAGGGUGACCGGCCACAUUGGGACUGAGAUACGGCCCAGACUCCUACGGGAGGCAGCAGUGGGGAAUAUUGCACAAUGGGCGGAAGCCUGAUGCAGCAACGCCGCGUGCGGGAUGACGGCCUUCGGGUUGUAAACCGCUUUCGCCUGUGACGAAACGUGAGUGACGGUAAUGGGUAAAGAAGCACCGGCUAACUACGUG
rnacentral:rRNA from 1 species